UUAAAUAACUCUAGAGAACACGAGUCAGCAUUUAGCAAAUAAAAGAUGGUUACAUCACAACUUUUUCACUAAUCUGGCUAUGAAAAUAACAAAGAAACCAGAUACUCUUUCCAUAGUUGCAUCAAUAGAGCAUCACAAGGUGUAAUGGAUGAAAGAAAGAUGAGACAUAUGGAUAGGCCUAAGACUUAAAAGAAAUGGCACAAUUACAAUUUUGUUAGCAUCGAAUACAUGGAAAGGCUCACCAUGUCUGAAACCUGAAUGGUACACUCAAUGAAACGUGAUCACAAACUCCCCAAAUUUCUUGGUGAUGCAAGAUUUCUUCAGCUGACAAGAUAUCUUGAUAGUUAAUGCUGCAAAGUCGUUGAAUUAGAUUAGACUAAAUAGAAUGUUCAGUCUGCGGCAUAUUGGAAAGUGUAGGAAGUGGAAAUAGGACAAAAAUACUAGAAAUCAUGCACAUGUACAAGUAAUGGCCUUCCACUUCUUAGGCAAACAUACUUUCCUAAGCUUUCUCUAAUUCUCUACUUGGUGUCAUAUUUAAUUCAUCUAUAUCCCACAACAUUGAUGUACUGCACAAAAUCAAAUGAAAACGUUCAAAUGGACAUUAGGGUCUCCUUCGUCGACGCUUCAUCUCACAUUGAAAGACAAUUACAAAUAAACCUUACUAUCUAAGAAGAUACCCUUUAUAUUCUCUUUCGGGUAACCAAAACAAUUGCAGCUCAUAGUUCAAAUAAAUACACCCUUGUUCAGAUGUGUUAUUCAUAGAUUGUUAUCAUGUAUCUACCGAGGCCUUCAUGGAUAGACCUAUCUAGCCAGCAUACUGAGGCAUAUAAACAAAAUAUACUGUAUCAUAUUAUAUCCUCGACCAUACCUAGCUUGCUGACACAAAUAUUCCGUAGUUCUAUUUGAGUCAUUUUAGCAUCCGCAAUUUUCUUCUGCUCUUUCUUCUGAUAAAAUAUCAAAAUAGCCUAUUCACAUCAUCCUGGCCAUUAACAUCAGAACCAGCAUCUUCAAUAAAUUUCCGAAGUUGCAAUACACUGUCUAGAAGCUGCUGGGGUGAGAAGGAACCAUAUAAAUAUAAUUUUUUGGUAAGAUAAAAGAACUCUUUGAGGUCUAUCAUGUGCAUUCAGAAAGAAAAAAACAAGGUAUUGCUUACUAAUAUAAAAGAGACCUGGAUACAUACACCUUGGAUUCUUCUAAGUCUCAGCAGAGGCAUGCUUGCUUGCAUUUGAGAUACAAGGAAUAAAAAGUCAUUCAGAAAGGACACCGCCUACUUCCGGUUAUGAAGUUUUCGAACUAUGUCUCCAGCCCAUUAAGCUUUCUUUGCAAGGGUGGUCUGAAUUAUCAGCGGUGUGCUUUCUACAGUCUUAGAUCCUGCAAAAUAAUAAUUGCAUUGUGAAGGACUGAAGUUUAACUUGGACACAUAGGACGAAGACAUCAGCAAAUCGACCAAUCAAAACUUAGAAGCAAUCAACUACAAGAUUAGAUACACUCAAGCUAGAACGAUACAAAAUUCACCAAGAAAUGAUCUGAGCAUGCCCUCAAUGCCUACCAUCAAUUAAAAAGCAUUAGAACACAAUAUUAAAUACACUCACGGUCAAAAUGAUGGAAAAUGGUUACCAUAAAAAU
rnacentral:lncRNA from 1 species